CCUACGGGAGGCUGCAGCAAGGAAUUUUCAGCAAUGGGCGCAAGCCUGACCGAGCAACGCCGCGUGCGGGAUGACGGCCUUCGGGUUGUAAACCGCUUUUCGGGGGGACGAUGAUGACGGUACCCCCGGAAUCAGCCCCGGCUAACUCUGUGCCAGCAGCCGCGGUAAGACAGAGGGGGCGAGCGUUGUCCGGAGUCACUGGGCGUAAAGCGCGCGCAGGCGGCAACCUCAGUGUCGUGUGAAAGCCCCCGGCUCAACCGGGGGAGGCCAUGGCAAACUGGGUGGCUCGAGCGGCGGAGAGGCCCCUCGAAUUGCCGGUGUAGCGGUGAAAUGCGUAGAGAUCGGCAGGAAGACCAAGGGGGAAGCCAGGGGGCGGGCCGCAGGCUGACGCUGAGGCGCGACAGCGUGGGGAGCAAACCGGAUUAGAUACCCGGGUAGU
rnacentral:rRNA from 1 species